GGGCCCGCACAAGCGGUGGAGUAUGUGGUUUAAUUCGAAGCAACGCGCAGAACCUUACCAGCCCUUGACAUCUGGGUCGCGGUUACCGGAGACGGUAACCUUCAGUUAGGCUGGACCCAAGACAGGUGCUGCAUGGCUGUCGUCAGCUCGUGUCGUGAGAUGUUGGGUUAAGUCCCGCAACGAGCGCAACCCUCGCCCUUAGUUGCCAGCCUUAAGUUGGGCACUCUAAGGGGACUGCCGGUGAUAAGCCGAGAGGAAGGUGGGGAUGACGUCAAGUCCUCAUGGCCCUUACGGGCUGGGCUACACACGUGCUACAAUGGUGGUGACAGUGGGCAGCGAGACGGCAACGUCGAGCUAAUCUCCAAAAGCCAUCUCAGUUCGGAUUGGGGUCUGCAACUCGACCCCAUGAAGUUGGAAUCGCUAGUAAUCG
rnacentral:rRNA from 1 species